GAGUUUGAUCGUGGCUCAGAUUGAACGCUGGCGGCAUGCCUUACACAUGCAAGUCGAACGGCAGCACGGGAGCAAUCCUGGUGGCGAGUGGCGAACGGGUGAGUAAUACAUCGGAACGUGCCCAGUAGUGGGGGAUAACCCGGCGAAAGCCGGACUAAUACCGCAUACGACCUACGGGUGAAAGCGGGGGAUCGCAAGACCUCGCGCUAUCGGAGCGGCCGAUGUCAGGUUAGCUAGUUGGUGGGGUAAAGGCCUACCAAGGCGACGAUCUGUAGCUGGUCUGAGAGGACGACCAGCCACACUGGGACUGAGACACGGCCCAGACUCCUACGGGAGGCAGCAGUGGGGAAUAUUGGACAAUGGGCGAAAGCCUGAUCCAGCAAUGCCGCGUGAGUGACGAAGGCCUUAGGGUUGUAAAGCUCUUUUACCCGGGAUGAUAAUGACAGUACCGGGAGAAUAAGCUCCGGCUAACUCCGUGCCAGCCGCCGCCGUAAG
rnacentral:rRNA from 1 species